rnacentral:rRNA from 1 species
GGUAGUGGGCGGCAAGCAGGAGCGGGAGUACGAAGGGGGUGAGGGUGGGGUGGGAGAAAUGGGCGGAAAGCGGAGUUAUGUGGAGUGGUAAGUCGGGGGUGAAAGCCUGGGGCGCAACUCCAGAAUUGCCUUUGAUACUGGGGAUCUUGAGUCCGGAAGGGGUGAGGGGAACUCCGAGUGUAGAGGUGAAAUUCGUAGAUAUUCGGAAGAACACCAGUGGCGAAGGCGGCUCACUGGUCCGGUACUGACGCUGAGGUGCGAAAGCGUGGGGAGCAAACAGGAUUAGAUACCCUUGUAGUC